rnacentral:rRNA from 1 species
AUUGAACGCUGGCGGCAGGCUUAACCCAUUCAAUUCGAGCGGAUGAUGGGAUCUUGCUCCUGGAUUCCGCGGCGGACGGGUGAGUAAUGCCUAGGAAUCUGCCUGGUUGUGGGGGAUAACGUCCCGACACUGGCGCUCAUACCGCAUACGUCCUGCGGCAGCACGUGGGGGCUCUUCUGCCCUCACGCUCUCCGCUUCUCCGGGGUGGGAUUAGCUAGUUGGAGGGGUAACGGCCUGCCCAGGCGACGUUCCGUAACUGGUCUGAGAGGAUGAUCAGUCACACUAGGAUUGAGACACGGGGGCAGCGCACAGGCAAGGCAGCAGUGGGGAAUAUUGGACGAAGGGCGAAAGGCUGAUCCAGGCAAGCCGCGUGGGUGAAGAAGGGCUUCGGAGCGUAAAGCACUAUAAGUUGGGAGGAAGGGAAGUAAGUUAAUACCGGGCUGUUGUGACGUUACCAACAGAAUAAGCAACGGCGAACUACGUG